GACGAACGCUGGCGGCGUGCUUAACACAUGCAAGUCGAACGGAAAGGCCCUGCUUUUGUGGGGUGCUCGAGUGGCGAACGGGUGAGUAACACGUGAGUAACCUGCCCUUGACUUUGGGAUAACUUCAGGAAACUGGGGCUAAUACCGGAUAGGAGCUCCUGCUGCAUGGUGGGGGUUGGAAAGUUUCGGCGGUUGGGGAUGGACUCGCGGCUUAUCAGCUUGUUGGUGGGGUAGUGGCUUACCAAGGCUUUGACGGGUAGCCGGCCUGAGUGGGUGACCGGCCAAAAUGGGACUGAGAUACGGCCCAGACUCCUACGGGAGGCAGCAGUGGGGAAUAUUGCACAAUGGGCGGAAGCCUGAUGCAGCAACGCCGCGUGCGGGAUGACGGCCUUCGGGUUGUAAACCGCUUUCGCAUGUGACGAAGCGUGAGUGACGGUAAUGGGUAAAGAAGCACCGGCUAACUACGUG
rnacentral:rRNA from 1 species